rnacentral:rRNA from 1 species
CGGGUGAGUAAUGUAUGGGGAUCUGCCUGAUGGGCGGGGGAUAACUACUGGAAACGGUAGCUAAUACCGCAUAAUGUCUGCGGACCAAAGCGGGGGACCUCCGGGCCUCGCGCCAUCAGAUGAACCCAUAUGGGAUUAGCUAGUAGGUAAGGUAACGGCUUACCUAGGCGACGAUCCCUAGCUGGUCUGAGAGGAUGAUCAGCCACACUGGGACUGAGACACGGCCCAG